rnacentral:rRNA from 1 species
UACGUAGGGUGCAGGCGUUAAUCGGAAUUACUGGGCGUAAAGCGUGCGCAGGCGGCUCCUUAAGUCAGAUGUGAAAGCCCCGGGCUUAACCUGGGAACUGCGUUUGAAACUGGGGAGCUAGAGUGUAGAAGAGGGGGGUGGAAUUCCAGGUGUAGCAGUGAAAUGCGUAGAGAUCGUAAGGAAGGCCAGUGGCGAAGGCGAGUUCCUGGACAGUUACUGACGCUGAGGCACGAAGGCCAGGGGAGCAAACGGG